UCGGCACUCACACACGGCUGAGCAACUCAACAGCUUUUUCUUCCCCCACCACCACCGCCCCACCCAAGUAGAAGUAGAUGUCCUCUUAAUUUCUCGACUCUAUCGAAGACAAAGAUAUACUCUUUACUAGGAAACCAGCAGAGGGUCUUCAUCGGAAAAACAAAAAUGCCUAACCCAUUGAGAAGAAAGUCUGGUUCUAGUUCUUUAGACAGCAAAAAUGAGGAGCACGAGGAGAAGAAGAGGUCGUCACCGUGUUCUAAUGGUGGUAAGAAAUUGAGUGCCGCUAAGUACAGAGAAAUUUUACUCAAGAACCAAGGAAGGGAAGGGGAUGAGAAAUCAGAUAACAAGAAGCUGAUAUUGGACAAUGAUUUGGCUCAAGUUGGAGACGGUAUGGAAAUUGAGCAGAAUGGUGGUCAUUUCAGUGAAAGUAAGCUUAUUAACGUUGUUCAGCGGUCUGGGAAAAUUGGAGAUGGAAGGAAAAACUUGGAAAUGUCUGUCUCUAUGGAAGAGGGAGAGAGUACAGUGCCUCUGGAACCAGAAGAGGAUGGAGGGAAGAUAAAUGUCAAGGUUUGUGGAGGAGGAAUCAGUGAAGAUUGUUCCAAGGAUGUACAACCCAAGGAUGCAGUGUUGAUGGCGGAAACGGGAAGCAAUGAUAAUGUUUGUGUCAUCCACAAGCUUGGUGAAAAUACUGGAAAGCUCUUGGGCUCCAACGGCAAGGGUUGCACAAAUAACUAUCAUCUCGAAUGUGCUGAUCCGCCCCUGAAGGAUGUGCCACCUGGUGGUUGGCAUUGUGUCUGUUAUGUUAAGAAGAACAUAGAGUCAGGUGUUCUUUUUUGCCCUGGAGCAGUAGAAUCCAAUUUGGAUGAUGUACAAGUGGAAUUGGCAGAUUCCGCUAGUGUGGAUAGUACUAAAACCAGUUCAUGCAAUAACAAUGAUUCUAAUGGCAAUGUUGAGAAGCUGAAGGAGAGGCUUGUACGUGUCGUUGCGUCAGAUUCUAAGUUUGUCGAAUACUGGGUUCCUGUUAAGCUUUCCAAUGUCCAGCUUGAGCAGUAUUGUGGUAUCCUACUUUCUAAUUCAGCGUUACUUCGUUCAUCUUCAAAGAAAUAUGUUAUUGCUGAGGCUCUCUGUAAUGUUCUUAGCUCUGCCAGGAAGUGUUGCGACCAUCCAUAUUUUGUGAACCCUUCUUUGCAGAAAGUGCUCACAGAUGGUCUGUCAGAGGCCGAGUAUUUGAAUGCCGGAGUAAAAGCAAGUGGCAAACUACAAGUACUUGAUAAGAUCCUUUCAGAGACAAAAAAGCAAGGCUUAAGAGUACUGAUCAUUUUUCAGUCAAAUGUUGGCUCCAGUGGAAUCUCUCUGGGAGAUGUCUUGGAUGAUUUUGUGCUUCAGAGAUGUGGUGUGGAUUCCUACGAACGUGUUGAUCGUGGAUUCGUUGCAUCUGAUGAGGAAUUUGCCAAUCAGAAGCAAUCUGCCAUGAACAAGUUCAAUGAUAGGGAAAAAGGGAGAAUUGUGUUUUUACUAGAUCAGCGUGCUUGCCUCCCAAGCAUUAAGCUAUCAUCAGUUGAUAUGGUAAUUCUAUAUGACAGCGAUUUGAACCCGUACAAUGAUAUGAAAGUUCUGCAGAAGAUCACUAUUGUCUCGCAGCAUGAACAGUUAAAAGUGUUCCGGUUAUAUUCAUUGUAUACUGUGGAGGAAAUGUUUCUAAUUCAUGCUAAGCAAGGUCUGGCCGAUGAUGCACAAAACUUAAACCGUUCCACGAUCCAUCAGUUGCUUAGAUGGGGUGCUUCUUAUUUAUUCAAAGAAUUGGCCGUGUUCCAUGGUUCCUCCACAUCCUCCGAUCCAAAAUUUUCUUCUGAUAAUUUGGUGAAAGAAUUACCUGGUCAGCUGCCUGCGAAUGCUGGAAGCCCUAGUCCAAUCAAUUCCUCAAUUGUUGUGAAAGUUAAUCAAACAGGAGGCACAUAUUCUAGAGAUAUAUCUUUACCUGGUGAGCUGGAGAUGCAGUCGGUUGACGAAGAUCUGCCUCAUGUCUUCUUCUGGACAAAAUUACUGGAUAGGAAGACCCCAGAGUGGAGAUAUUUACCUGCUGCAUCCUCACCCUUGGAGAACCGUAAACGAGUCAAGUACUUUGAAUGUUCAUUGGAAACGGCGGACUUUGACAAUGAUGAUGUCACGAAGAAGAAACGGAAGGGUUUUACCGGUAUCACAGAUGCACCUGUUGUAGAAGAUACAAGAGAAGUCGGUGGUCUCAACAAAGAAGGUAAAAGGAUAAAUGAUACCAAUGAGCAGGACCAAGUUGGGUUAGUGCCCUGGGAAUUUCCAUCACAGCCAGCUAUAACUGACAACCAUUUUGAGUUGCCUACUUACAAUGAUGCUUUGCAAGAUACAAUGCUGCAGCAGUCUGUGCUUAUAGACAGAUGUGUAGGUGGUACACGUGUAACAGAUUUCAGAAGCUUGGGGGUUGUUCCGGACUGCAUUAGUCACCAUCCUUUACAUAUUGCUCAAUUGACUUAUGCUCGGACUUCUCAGACUCUGCUCCAGGGUGACCCUCUUUUAAAUGAAUUAGUUAGAAUUCGCCAAGAGGGGGAGAAAGCUGUGAAAUUCCACGAAGAAUCGAGAACACGAAUCAGAUUUGAUUAUCACAAGGAGGUGCAAGAGGUCUAUAAAAAGUAUAGCAAGCUUCAUUAUGAUAAUGAUACUGCAUUAGCUCGGACAAAGAAUGCAAUUGAUACAAAUCAUAACAAAGUCACCAUUAAUGUGAUGUUAGCCAAGUAUUUAAGGGACAACUGUCUAUGAGACUACCAGGGCUGCUGGAUGACAUCAAGGUAUAGGUCCCUCGACUUUGAAUUCUUCUAUCGCAUUUGAGAAUUUUUUUUGGUGGCUAUGCAAAUUUUGAAAUUUUGAGCUACAUUUAUAAUGCCGUAAUAGUUGAUGGUCAUUUUAAUUUGCUUGGGAAAGGAUUAGGUCUCAUUUUAUGUUCCACACGCAAUGAUCGGUGUAGGAGACGUGGCGUUAGUUUGCUGCUCUCCAAAAUUCUGUAAAAAGAAUCAAGUAUUACAGUAAAUACAAAUUAUAUCCCACCAGUAACAGUGAAUUUUACCCAAUGAUUUACCAUCUUUAGUUCCCAUGGAGCAUUCUUUACAAAAAAUUGAGUCUACAAUGGAGGUGAUGCAGACAAGUCUGUUGGGAAAUGGUUUCCUGAUUUUGAACAAAUUUCCGUUAAUAAAUAGGGUGGUACACUUAUAAACUCUGAUUCUACAGCUGCAAUAAAAGCUUUUGUGUGAGGGAAAUAAACUUUGCAGCGGAUGCAUUGCCGGGUCUCAUCUUCGAAGUUCGAUCUGACAUAGUUGUAUUGUUGCGUAGUCUAAUCCUUCCUGAAUUGUCUCUGUCGGUUGUAAAUACGCAUUAAGUCUUUCUGUAGGGAUAACA